rnacentral:rRNA from 1 species
AUAGCUAAUACCGCAUGAGAGUGUUUAACACAUGUUAGAGACUUAAAAGAUACCAAUUGUAUCACUAUCAGAUGGACCUGCGUUGUAUUAGCUAGUUGGUAGGGUAGCGGCCUACCAAGGCAACGAUACAUAGCCGACCUGAGAGGGUGAUCGGCCACACUGGGACUGAGACACGGCCCAGACUCCUACGGGAGGCAGCAGUAGGGAAUCUUCGGCAAUGGACGAAAGUCUGACCGAGCAACGCCGCGUGAGUGAAGAAGGUUUUCGGAUCGUAAAGCUCUGUUGUAGCGGAAGAACGCGUGUAAGAGUGGAAAGUUACACAGUGACGUACGUACCAGAAAGG